GACGAACCGUGCAAACGUUGUUCGGAAUCACUGGGCUUAAAGGGCGCGUAGGCGGGCAGGCAAGUCGAAGGUGAAAUCCCACGGCUCAACCGUGGAAGUGCCCCCGAUACUGCCUGUCUCGAGGGAGAUAGGGGCGUGCGGAACUUCCGGUGGAGCGGUGAAAUGCGUAGACAUCGGAAGGAACACCGGUGGCGAAAGCGGCGCGCUGGAUCUCUUCUGACGCUGAUGCGCGAAAGCCAGGGGAGCAAACGGG
rnacentral:rRNA from 1 species